AUGCUUGUGUGGCGCAAACCCUGGAAUGGAAGCCGAAUUCCCACUUGCGUGCAGACACGGAUGCCUCCUCGCCAUAAAAUGAGCUACUCUUUCCUUUGGAAUCCCUUAGUUUGGAACGUUAAAGACCCAUCUUCCGAGUCAUUUGGCAUGACUGAUGCUUUUUGACUUCUGCAACGGAUCUGCCCGCAGUUAGUGACAUUGGUUGCCUUACUCUUAUCUUCACUUCCUUAAGCAUCCGUGUUCUUCCUGGUCAUCAAAUUAGCUGCUUCCCCUCAUUUCACAUCCACUGACAGUUUGGGGUGGUUUGAGUUGAGCGGGGUGGACAAGGGGAAAUUGGCGAUUUCCUCUGCCUCUCGUAGAGUUCAUCUCUCCCCCAGAUCCUGCUAAAACAUCUCUCUCAACAACACUCUUUAUUCCUAGUUUAGCAGCAUCAUCGUGAAGAACAAGUUUUUCUUUACAAUGCUCCGACUCAAAGUCCAAAUGAUAGAUGGUUUCCUGAUUCUGAAGAAGACACUUACGCACUUACAGUUCUUUCAACAAUUUAUUCCAGUUUGAAUAAGACAGUCGAUUUCUCAUGUUAACGUGGGGCAAGAGGGUAUGCGUGUGCAAAUAAAAAUGUCUGGCAUCCAUUCAAAAGUUGGGUGAGACUAAGGACCCAGAAAGAACGUUGCCAAUACUACUUUCUUGUGUCCACUGUUUGGUAUCUGUGGGUUUCUCUCCUGCCUGCCAUACAUUUCCUCUGUUCUUAAAAGCCCUGUCUGGGUCUGCGGAGAGAACAAAGUUUCUUACCAUGGAUCUUUGGAUGUUUUCUUAGCCUACCCACCCCGGUAGGCCCAAUAAAGGACACUUCUAGCUCUUAAUCUUUGCUUUCUUAGGCAUCAACCCCUCUCCUCCUGGACACUCCCACUUUAUGUGCCAUUAGUAAAACAUUGGUCGUGAUUAACUUGUUUUGUUCCAUGUAUGACAGCAGAACUGCUAAAACAUCACUUUCCUGAUAAUUCUUUCCCCGUGGGAACAUUUGCAAAAGCAUCUUCAAAAAGGAGUCCCCCUUCCUUGCCCCAACAAAAAUACAGCAAAGUUAGCACAUGCGUUUCUAGACUCCUUUUUCCUUCAUAAAAGUCAUCUCUGUUCUUCCUUCCUGAUCAGCAGAGAGAGGUAUAUACGCCCACAUUUUUUCCCCAAGGGUGAAGCGGUAUAUAUUUUGCCGUGUGUACUUGGCCCGCAGAGGCUCAAAGGGACUAGAACACAUUCGAGCAUAGUAGUGAUUUUCAUAAUCUUAUGGCAAGUUUUCCAAGUAGUAGGUCUAUGGGGGACCUGAGACCUGCUCCUUCCGGGGGUGCCUCUCAAGGGAGCAAUGGGAAUGAGAAGCGAAUGCGGCUUCCCUCUCACAUUCACAUUAUGUGCCGAGAGUCCAAGUGUCCUAGAAUUCUCCCCAUAAGGAACAUUCCCGAAAGACGAGCCAUGGGAAGUGUAAAGAGAAAUCAUGGCUACUCAGGAAACUUCUAUUUGCUUUCUUCUGCACUGCCUGCCCAUAAGCAUCAUCUGGGUAAAGUGUUAAGAGAAAAUUUAUGCCUCAUCCCAGAGAAACGCCUGUAUGUUGCCACAAUCACAACUUUGGAAAGAUGUUAGAGGAAGGUAUUCCUUUAAAGCCGGUCACAUCAGCCACAGUGCUCCCUUCAUGUUUUAAUAUCAUGGUGUCUCCUUUUGGUCCUGUAAGUGUUACCUGGUUUCCCUCUAGGAGUGCGGGAAACCAGGACCGGUAAUUUAUGGCUCCUGUUAAGAGGGUUGGCUGGACGUGUGGACAAUAUGUCAAUAAUUAUUUCUGGUGGGGCCUUAACAGCAGAGGAAGUGGCUCGGUAGCAUGGCUUAUUUUAACGGAAGACAGAUAUGCCUGACCUGGCUUUUAUGACAGACGUCAAAUAUAUCGAAGUGUGUUGUGAGGCAGAUCGCCUUAUUGGCAAAGAAAUGAAAGACCACCAGGAAGAUGGAUGGGAAGUUUUCCUCAAGAGGUUUCCUGUCUCUUGCACAGGUAUGACAGUGAACCUCAAGAAGGCCAACUGGCAGGCCCGAGGGGAGACGUCAGCGAGACUGAACCUGCUCCUGCCUGUGAGACUUGGAAACAAGAGUCCUUGCCCCCCUGGACUGAUGUCGGGACAGUGAGGAGCGGGUGGGGGGGGGUGGGCACCACAGUGAUGUGAGGGAGGUCCCCCUGAAAGCAAGCCCCUCCUUGCAUGCGAUACCCCAGACUUGCUCAAAAUAAUCUGGUUCUCCGGUCUUCCCUCUUGAGUUCAGCUCAACAAAGAUUUCUGGAGAGCCUAAUAUCCGGGCAUUAGAGAUUCAUGCUAAAAACCACACAUCCCAUCAGACCUCCCCCCUUCGUUCUUCUGGGUCCUUCUACCUGGGGGAGGAACAGGAUCUUAGGGUCACUUAUUAGCUGCUGGAUGGCCAGAGUGGGGGAACUGACUCACUUCUGGGAGCCUUGUUUUCCUCAUCUGGAAAACAAGCCUCAGACUUUAGAGGAUUGAACAGGACAGCAUCUCUCUGCUUGCCCCAAGGACUAGAUCUAUAAACGAUAAAGGGGAAAUUAUGGCCACUCCCCUAUGUACUUUUGACCCAUAAAGACUGCUUUUUGGGUAAUUUAUGUCACCUGCCACUAAAUUAACUGCUGUCAGAUCACAAGCUUCCUAUAUGCCUAAGCCCCGAGCUCCCUUAAUCAAAAUAUGGUUAUCGGAAAACUGUGUCCUUUGGGACAGAUGAAUGACAAAAAAGGCUACCUCUCCUCCAGCUGGGUGUAUCCAGUGCCAGGUGCUGGCCUCGGCCGGUGGAAGCUGGAUCUCGCUUCACACAGUGCCGGGCACAACGUGCUUACUGGUGGAGAUGCUGUCAAAAGGGGAAGUAGGACAGGGACCGUUUUCAUGGGUGUCGCCCUCCAAGCCAACUGUCAAGAGGGCUCCACCCUUUCUCUAUGGAGCAGAAAAUGCAAGACUCCCUAGAAGGAAAAAGCAGGAUCCAGUUCCCCGUUAAAGACAGGAACAGGGUAAAAACUGAACUGAAUGAGGCACUGGUCUGUCAGUGAGGCGCUUGCCUUCAGUGAGGUAGCAAGGGCAGAUCUGGGGCUCCUCAGGAGGGAGGGGGGUCGCUGUCAAUGUCUAUCUCCGAGGCGGGCUUGAAGCAUCAAAGGAGAAAUGGAUGCUUUUCAGUUUGAAUCUAGAAACGUGGGAUCUGUCACGGAAAAGCAAAUGGCUUUUCAGCUACGAGAGGAUUCUACCAACUCAUAUACUUCUCUUGCCUUUAUUCGGAUACCCUCCCCCACUCUUUUGAUUUCCCUCUGAAUCUGUAUUAAAUUCGUGAUGUGCUCUUAAGGGAGAGAGGUCUAAUCGAGAUGUAAGACGCUAUGAAUUAAAAAAAAGGGGGGGGUAGGAAUUCACCAUUGCUUCAUUGCCCUAAACAGCAGCUCAUCUCAAACGCUUGUCCCCCUUUCAGUGAAAUAGAUACCCUUCUCCGCCAGGACGUUCCAAGUCUCAGAGGCCUUUAUUAACUUGAUCUUUGGGAAUAGUGUUUUAAUUUUUUCCAUAAUCAUCAUGCAAAUUGAUCAUGAUAGUCUCUGGGAAGGAAAAGGAGGAAACCAAUGGCCUCAUUAACUCCAAGCCUGGGAGAGCGCAUGCUCCUGGGGGUUGCUGUCCUUACACACACAGAGGCGUAGGCUUUCUUUGUGUGUGACUUGGUCCAGUCCCCAGUGCGAGCUGUGGCUUGCUCCCUGUCUAGCUUGUUUAAAUUGCCUCAUGCCUUUGACUCCCUCACAAAACAAUGGGAAAUAACUUGGAAGGCCCCAAUCUUGUGAAAGAAACGUUUGUGUCCUGUGAGAUUCCAACCACAGUUUCUAACUCUCUGACAACAGGAUCAAAUCAUUGAUACGCCAUGCACGUGCUCUAUUCAGGCCUUACCUUAAAGACAUUGGGGUCUCAUGUUGCUAAACUUUGUGCAAUACAUUGAGUCAGCGCUAAGAUGUGUGGCUCCGAGGCGUAAAUCUGCAUGUUGUUCUGCUGAACGAGGAGGGCUUUUUAAAGAAUGUCUUUUAAUUUUAAUUUAAAAGGGAGAGUGGCAGAGACAAAUAGAUCUGUCCAAAAUAUACUUAGUAAUAGAUUUUUGAGUUGGGUUAUUAAUUUCAUGUAAGCGGUUCCUCUUUUUGUUUUUAUAAAGUGUAAAAUUCGGGAGAAGCAAAAUCAAAUGUAAUACACUUUUAUUGAUGGCCCCGCUGGGUGCCAAGCAAGGUGUCCAAUGGUUUCAAACACUGCCUCAUUUAUCCUCAUCUGACAGACUAGGACAGGGCUGUGGCAAAAGGUGAAAGGGUUUGUUGAGCUGGCAAGUCACAGAGUCAUUUCCAGAUCUGCCUCAUCCUUGAAAAGGAUUGGACGCAACUGUUUGGAAAUUAACUUCUUCGGAGCUAGAGAAGAAGAGCUAGACUCUUUCCUCAAUGGAUCGUGUCCUGCCAGUGAGUAGUAGUAAGGAAGUUGCUAUAAUUCUUGGAGCCAUGGGGUACCAGAUAUUUGCGGAUGAGGAUCUGCCCUCCGUGGGUGACCAGCCUUUUGCCUUGUGCACACGAGUACCUUCCAUCGGUUAGUUGUAUCUGGGGCUGAAAAGUCUGUCUCUUCCUCCCUGGGGGAAGACUGUCCCCUUCUAGUGAAGUACAGAUGGGGCAGGUGCUCGUGAAGUCGGGGGCAGGGAGGAAUGAGCAUUCUGCUGGCUGGAUUAGCUGACGGGUGCUAGUUAGAGUGCCUGAGUUAGAGCCACACGACCCGUGGGAAAAUCCCUUUGUCUCAGCUGUAAUCCCUCCAGGUGGCAGGUUCUUUAAAGUCGAUUUGACCUCUCUUGAGACAUUUGAUAACAAACAGGCAUUGACACCUACUCUCUGUAAGCUAUUGGGUGAGCAGACAGUGAAAUCUAUCUUCAAUCCCCAUUUGUUGAGUUUCCACGAUGUCCUAGAAACUGUGCGAGGUACUUCAGAUGCAAAUAUAAAAGGGUCUAAUAACCCUGUAGGGAAGGUCAAACUGUGAACGAAUGCAUGCAGUUUUAGAAGGAUGGUCCACAGCAGAAGAGCACAAAGGAGCGACUGGAGGAAUGCUUUAGUGAGUUGGUGACGUUAUUUAGCUGGGUCUUGAAGUUGUUAGGAAGACUUCUUCGGGUUGAAAAAUUGGGGGAAAUGCGUUCUCUUUUGAAAGAGUUUCAUGUUUACCUUGACAAAGAGUAUGUCAUCGCCUUGGAAAGAUUACCCCAUGAAUGUGGCUGUAAUUGGUCGAGAGAGGUGGUGGAUAAUGGAGGAGAGCUGUCCUUACCACUAAUUUAUCUGGUGGAAUGGCCUUUUUGCAAGCUAUGCUGGGAAGAAUGCUGGUUCCUUGAGAUGUUAAUUAGUAUUGUCUGUGAAAACAAUACCAAUUAAAAUAAAUAAGUGCAUUUUCAUUAGAUAUAGGGAACAGUGGGUUAGGCUGUUGGAUGGGGUUCUUCCUUACAGGACUUCUCAGAGCCUUUACUCAGUUACUCUGCAUUAUAAAUUUCCAAGAGCCUGCCUUAAACCUAUCUGUCUUUUCCUAUUCACGGUGCUUUCAGGGUUCCCUGGGUCUCAUAGUGGAAAAUACUUUUUUAAGGUAGGGGCAGCUAUCUGCACUGUUUAAGGAGUGAGUGGUUUCUAUUUCAGAAAGAAGCUUUGGGGCACCUGGGAGGAAGAAAGCCAGUUGUGACACAGGCUGGACACAAGCUGACCUGUGACUGAGCUGUUAAAGUCUUCUGGGCUAAAGAAAAGAAGGGUCAGAAUUAUGGCACUGAAGAUGUGAAGAAGGAAAUGGAAUGGAAAGAUAACUGGCAGGGAGAAUAGGUAUUCUGUGACCAUAUGAGGGUGAAUGAAAGAAAAAAAAUUGUGCGUGACUCCCCGGGGUCUAGUUGGGAAGUUUGGCGAAGAAUAGAAAUUUUGAGUAGAAGAUGAAAAAAUUAACUUGGGAUAUGAUAGAAUUGUGGUGUCUAUAAGACCUACAGAUAGAGUUGGUCAACGCAUCCACGGUUGGAGAUACUACUCUGUAGCUCAAGAUAUGCAUGAGUAUAAUUUUAUCUUUCUAUGAUGCUUCAGAUAACCUUUGACUACUUAAUGGUGUCUUAGGCGUCAGUAGAGUGCCCAUUAAGUGUUUCUUGACCAUACAUGUAUAGCAAUGCAUGUUGUAGAGAGCUAUGUUGAAUAGAAAGCUGAAUAGAAACCAUUAACUAUAUAUACUAACACCUGCCUUGUCCAGGAACAGUGCACAGGGAAAAGCAAGCAAACAACAAAAACAAC